AGUGAACGCUGGCGGUAGGCCUAACACAUGCAAGUCGAACGGCAGCACAGUAAGAGCUUGCUCUUACGGGUGGCGAGUGGCGGACGGGUGAGGAAUACAUCGGAAUCUACUUUUUCGUGGGGGAUAACGUAGGGAAACUUACGCUAAUACCGCAUACGACCUACGGUUGAAAGCAGGGGAUCUUCGGACCUUGCGCGAUUGAAUGAGCCGAUGUCGGAUUAGCUAGUUGGCGGGGUAAAGGCCCACCAAGGCGACGAUCCGUAGCUGGUCUGAGAGGAUGAUCAGCCACACUGGAACUGAGACACGGUCCAGAAUCCUACGGGAGGCAGCAGUGGGGAAUAUUGGACAAUGGGCGCAAGCCUGAUCCAGCCAUACCGCGUGGGUGAAGAAGGCCUUCGGGUUGUAAAGCCCUUUUGUUGGGAAAGAAAAGCAGCAGGUUAAUACCCCGCUGUUCUGACGGUACCCAAAGAAUAAGCACCGGCUAACUUCGUG
rnacentral:rRNA from 1 species